CCUGCUAGAAGAAAAUGGAGGAAAAGUGAAACUCUUCAGUUUUUGGGUUUCCCUUUCUGAUCUGAAUAGAGCUGCAAGCUGCUACCAUCAAAAACAGAUGAAAUCAGAUGGUGUUGAAUCUGGUGAUGGUGAUGAUGAUUAUUCUCCAUUGUAGGAGCAGCUGAAGGUGAAGCUGAAGCAGGAGAAGAAGAAGCAGAAGCACCUCCUCCACCUCCUCCCAUGAAAAAAGGUAGAUUGUUGGAUCCAUCUAAAGGUGAAACUGCAAACCUUUGAAGAUGAGACAAAAGAGACGGUGAAUUGGACUGAAGGGUCCCCCUAUUAUAACCAGCAAGGCCCGAAGAGAUUGUGAAAUUCAGAUUAUAAUCAUUGUUGUUCCCGCUUGGUUGAGUAGAAGAAGAAGUAACCACAUUUUGCAUCAUAUGAUCUGGUAUGAAUGAAAAUGGAUGCUGCAAAUGAUGCUGAUGCUGAUCUUGAGAAUGAUUCUCACCACUAGUACUGAAUGGUGAAACUGAAUUAGACAUUGUCAUUGAUUGAUGAUCAUGAAGUGAAUGUCCUAAUAGAUGAUGAUGAUGAUGUGCCCUUGAUGAUGAAGAUCCUGGAAAUACUUGACUAAAGUAAUGAUCCAUUGGUGCUGAAGAAUUCCAUUGCUGCUGCUGCUGCUGUUGCUGUCUAGCUUUGUUGAAAAAACUAGGUUCUUCAGCUGACCCUCUUGGACUAUUUGUGGUAGUAACAGUAUUGUUGAUUCCACAAGUAAGUAGUUCAGUGAAUGAAGCUGUUUGAGAAAUGGAAGAGGUCACAUUGUUGUGAUGCUGUUGAUGAGUAUUGUGAGAUUCAUGAUUAAUCUCUUUGUCCUUCUCCUUAGCAGUUCUUUCUCUUGCUCUUUCUCUAGCUUUGACACGGCUCACACGAACAUCAGAUCUUGAAAGAGACAAACCAGAACCUUUACUUGUCUCAGAAGUGCUACUACAACCAGAUUUAGACAAAGAAAGAUUCUGACUUUGAUAAUUGUUUUCACCAUUCUCAACAACCAUUUCAGAAUCAUGAACUGAAUCAACACCUUGUUCACUU
rnacentral:lncRNA from 1 species